GGCCUCUGGAGAUGUCACAGAGGCAGAUCUUCUGCCACUUCACUCGGAGGUGUGUUGCCUAGGAGCUGGGUUGUCUUCUCCGCCGAGCAGAGUCUUGUAACCUCCACCUCCCGCUGCGUCCUGUGUGCUGCUGGCUGGAGAAGGGGCCUGGGAAGGAGCCAGAUUCCAUGAGUUAAAUGCAGAUCUGAACCAUACCGAACUGGGAUUAAAGUACACACCCUCCUAUUCUGAGAAGUAGCUAAGGAUUCCAACUUGGUGUGGUGGAGAGUGUGGCAGAGCCAGACCAGACAAGGACUGAUCACCUGGAGAAGCAUGCUGUUCAAAGGCCUUGUUCUGAAGGCCAGAAUUCUAAUGUCAGUCCCACUGACUCAAGGUGGGAGCAGGGCAGGUACCUUCCCAGGCUCCGUAGGAGAAUGAGUUUCCCGGCCCUGGAGGCUUCCUGCACUCCUCAGCUUGUGCUGCCCUUCUUGAAUGACUCGAGGUUCCUGUUUCCAUCACUACACUUCCCAUCCCUCUCCAUCACCUGCUCUGCUGUGAUAAGGAUCUGGGCUGGCUGCAGUCUUUGUUCCCUGCAACAUUUGUCUCCUGGGUUCAAGUGA
rnacentral:lncRNA from 1 species